GAUGAACGCUGGCGGCGUGCCUAAUACAUGCAAGUCGAGCGAACGGACGAGAAGCUUGCUUCUCUGAUGUUAGCGGCGGACGGGUGAGUAACACGUGGAUAACCUACCUAUAAGACUGGGAUAACUUCGGGAAACCGGAGCUAAUACCGGAUAAUAUUUUGAACCGCAUGGUUCAAAAGUGAAAGACGGUCUUGCUGUCACUUAUAGAUGGAUCCGCGCUGCAUUAGCUAGUUGGUAAGGUAACGGCUUACCAAGGCAACGAUGCAUAGCCGACCUGAGAGGGUGAUCGGCCACACUGGAACUGAGACACGGUCCAGACUCCUACGGGAGGCAGCAGUAGGGAAUCUUCCGCAAUGGGCGAAAGCCUGACGGAGCAACGCCGCGUGAGUGAUGAAGGUCUUCGGAUCGUAAAACUCUGUUAUUAGGGAAGAACAUAUGUGUAAGUAACUGUGCACAUCUUGACGGUACCUAAUCAGAAAGCCACGGCUAACUACGUGCCAGCAGCCGCGGUAAUACGUAGGUGGCAAGCGUUAUCCGGAAUUAUUGGGCGUAAAGCGCGCGUAGGCGGUUUUUUAAGUCUGAUGUGAAAGCCCACGGGCUCAACCUUGGAGGGUCAUUGGAAACUGGAAAACUUGAGUGCAGAAGAGGAAAGUGGAAUUCCAUGUGUAGCGGUGAAAUGCGCAGAGAUAUGGAGGAACACCAGUGGCGAAGGCGACUUUCUGGUCUGUAACUGACGCUGAUGUGCGAAAGCGUGGGGAUCAAACAGGAUUAGAUACCCUGGUAGUCCACGCCGUAAACGAUGAGUGCUAAGUGUUAGGGGGUUUCCGCCCCUUAGUGCUGCAGCUAACGCAUUAAGCACUCCGCCUGGGGAGUACGACCGCAAGGUUGAAACUCAAAGGAAUUGACGGGGACCCGCACAAGCGGUGGAGCAUGUGGUUUAAUUCGAAGCAACGCGAAGAACCUUACCAAAUCUUGACAUCCUUUGACAACUCUAGAGAUAGAGCCUUCCCCUUCGGGGGACAAAGUGACAGGUGGUGCAUGGUUGUCGUCAGCUCGUGUCGUGAGAUGUUGGGUUAAGUCCCGCAACGAGCGCAACCCUUAAGCUUAGUUGCCAUCAUUAAGUUGGGCACUCUAAGUUGACUGCCGGUGACAAACCGGAGGAAGGUGGGGAUGACGUCAAAUCAUCAUGCCCCUUAUGAUUUGGGCUACACACGUGCUACAAUGGACAAUACAAAGGGCAGCGAAACCGCGAGGUCAAGCAAAUCCCAUAAAGUUGUUCUCAGUUCGGAUUGUAGUCUGCAACUCGACUACAUGAAGCUGGAAUCGCUAGUAAUCGUAGAUCAGCAUGCUACGGUGAAUACGUUCCCGGGUCU
rnacentral:rRNA from 1 species